rnacentral:lncRNA from 1 species
UUGUAGCUACUAGCUAAUGUUGUAAGAUUUUUAUUGGUCUAAAGGUUUUUAUUAAUAAUUUAUUGUAUGUGUAGUAUAUUUUUAUGAUGUUAGUAAUUUAUUUAGAAAAUGAAAUUCAAUAUAAUCAAUUUAUUUUACUGUCAUGUGAGAAAGUGAAAUAUGUGGCUACUAGUAGCUUGUAUGUGUAGGAUAUUUUUAUGAUGUUAGUAAUUUAUUUAUAAAAUGAAAACAAUCAACUUAUUUUACUCUCAUGUGAGAAAGUGAAAUAUGUGAGUACUAGUUGCUUAUAUGAGUAGUAUAUUUUUAUGAUGUUAAUAAUUUAUUGAGAUUUGUUUGUUUGUUAUUCAAAUUGCUUGAAAGCGGAUCUUAUUUGUAAUAUGGAGGUGUUGGCAGCCCCAAGUUUUCUUCAUAUAUGUGUAUCUAUAUAUUUCUUUUCAUCAUUAAGAGAUUUGAUUAUUGUCUUAGCCAUAUAAGUGAAUUGAAUUGUGAUUUUGCAUUUU